rnacentral:rRNA from 1 species
GGCCAGCAUCGGUUCGGGCGGUGGGAUAAAGGCCUUGGGAAUGUAGCUUCUUUCGGGGAGUGUUAUAGCCUUGGGUCACAUACAUCGGCUGGGACUGAGGAACUCAGCGCGCCGCAAGGACGGGUUUCGACCACGUUCGCGCUUAGGAUGCUGGCAUAAUGGCUUUAAUCGA